rnacentral:rRNA from 1 species
AGUAACGCGUGGAACGUGCCCUUUGCUACGGAAUAGUCCCGGAAACUGGGUUUAAUACCGUAUACGCCCUUCGGGGGAAAGAUUUAUCGGCAAAGGACCGGCCCGCGUUGAUUAGGUAGUUGGUGGGAUAAUGGCCUACCAAGUCGACGAUCCAUAGCUGGUUUGAGAGGAUGAUCAGCCACACUGGGACUGAGACACGGCCCAGACUCCUACGGGAGGCAGCAGUGGGGAAUCUUAGACUAAGGGGGAAACCCUGAUCUAGCCUAGCCGCGUGAGCGAUGAAGGCCUUAGGGUUGUAAAGCUCUUUCGCCUGGGAAGAUAAUGACGGUACCAGGUAAAGAAGCCCCGGCUAACUCCGUGCCAGCAGCCGCGGUCCUUCGGGC